rnacentral:rRNA from 1 species
UCGGGAAUAUUGCGCAAUGGAGGAAACUCUGACGCAGUGACGCCGCGUGCAGGAAGAAGGUUUUCGGAUUGUAAACUGCUUUAGACAGGGAAGAAACAAGACAGUACCUGUAAAAUAAGCUCCGGCUAACUACGUGCCAGCAGCCGCGGUAAUACGUAGGGAGCAAGCGUUAUCCGGAUUUAUUGGGUGUAAAGGGUGCGUAGACGGGAGAGCAAGUUAGUUGUGAAAUCCCUCGGCUUAACUGAGGAACUGCAACUAAAACUAUUCUUCUUGAGUGCUGGAGAGGAAAGUGGAAUUCCUAGUGUAGCGGUGAAAUGCGUAGAUAUUAGGAGGAACACCAGUGGCGAAGGCGACUUUCUGGACAGUAACUGACGUUGAGGCACGAAAGUGUGGGGAGCAAACA